GACGAACGCUGGCGGCGUGCUUAACACAUGCAAGUCGAACGGAAAGGCCCUGCUUUUGUGGGGUGCUCGAGUGGCGAACGGGUGAGUAACACGUGAGUAACCUGCCCUUGUCUUUGGGAUAACUUCAGGAAACUGGGGCUAAUACCGGAUAGGAGCUCCUGCUGCAUGGUGGGGGUUGGAAAGUUUCGGCGGUUGGGGAUGGACUCGCGGCUUAUCAGCUUGUUGGUGGGGUAGUGGCUUACCAAGGCUUGGACGGGUAGCCGGCCUGGGAGGGAGACAGGCCCCAGAGGGAUACGGAAGGGACCAGUAGUCAAACGGGCGGAAGGGGGGGGAAACUUACGGCAAAGGGCGGAGGCAGGGAGGAGGAACGCCGGUUCGGGAAACACGGCUUUCGGGUUGUAACCCAUUUGUGCGUAUAACGGAGCGUCUUGACGGUAACUGGUCAAGAAGCACCGGCUAACUACGUG
rnacentral:rRNA from 1 species